rnacentral:tRNA from 1 species
GGGGGUAUAGCUCAUUUGGUAGAGCGCUUGCAUGGCAUGCAAGAGGUGUGGGGUUCGAGUCCCCAUAUCUCCACCA